rnacentral:lncRNA from 1 species
CCUAGGCUUAGCCGGGCGGGAGAUGAACCUGCUUCCCCAGCAUCCUCCUCCAAUACAGCCGCAUCCUUGACCUGCUUCACAGGUCUUAGAUUCCAGGCCCUCGGCCUGAAGGCUCAACCUUCGCCUUGAACCCCUGUCGGGGCUGGCGGCGCCCCCGCGUGUGAGUCUGAGGAUUUAUUGGCACUUGCACAAAAUCCUUCUAAAGCUGGAAGAAUGUGUCAUCGACUGAUAAAAAUGCUAAAUGACAACUCAUUUUCAUUUUGCAGAACAGAAUUGUUUAAUAUUUCAUUCCUAUCACCUGCUCAUUUUAGGGCAGCCCACACAUGACAGGAAGGGCUCCCCGGAGAAUUGCUUAAAAGGUUAAAGCUUCCGACAGACAGCCAUCCUGAGGCUCUGUUUCCCUGCUGAUGCGCGCCCAAGAUCGCCUUCGUUGAUGUCUCAAGGCCGCCCUCUGCUGGCGGAUGGCGUACCGGCAGAACCUGGAAAUGAGACGCCAUCCUGCAAGGCCAGUGUAGCUGGGUGAAAGGUUUAGCAAUUGAAAGUCUGAAGUUCACUACCUCCUCUGAGGCAUCCUGACCUCUGUGCGGGGUCAUUCAGCUGCUCUUUCGCCAGCAUGGAUCCCUCUACCAAUUUUCAAGUUGUUUGAGCACCAUCAAUGGGGAGAAGCCACGUGGCCAAAGGCUUUCCUCCCGGAAGGACUGAUGAAUGUGAAACAAAGAUGUCUGACAGGCGCAAAUGAGGCCAAGAAGGAAAGAGUCAAGCUGCGCAGAGUACAGAGGCCCGAUAUGGAGAAAUGAUACAAACUUUUGACAGCAGCCACCAACCCUAAAAAUCCUCACAACAGGAACUCAAUCCGUCCACUCCAGCUGGUGCAACCCACAGCACUUUCGCAGUCUUCACUCUCCCGGGUUUCAGUUACCGACCCCCUACCACAUUCUGAAAAUGAUAUAAGAAAGUGUCAAAAGGUGUCUUGGAAAUCCCUCGGAGCCCUGUUUGUUGUCAACAACUGCUGUGUCUUCUCUGGUUUCCGUGUGACUUACUCUAGUGUUUGGUGGCAGUGUUCCUCAUCCUCAUCAUCUCCUUCCUGACCAAGUUCCAAGCCCCCACUGUAAGGAAUAUUAGGUAAGAUUGGACCAGUUUAGGGUUUUUAUGUCUUGGUCUUGCUAACUGAAGGAUUACAAUGAUGUCCUAAGGCUGAGCUUGCUGGGCCAGGCCUGGCCUGCCCUUUCUCUGUACAGCAGCUGUUAGCAUACGGGAGGGAAAUGAGAUGUUUCCACACAAGUGUCCAAAUCUAGGUAUCUAGGAUAUGUUAACAACACCUUCACCCAGUAACUGUGGCAAUCACAUGACCCCUUCUGUUCCCAAGGGCCCUGUGGAGCACUAGGGGGAGGUCCCCUUUCCUCGUAAUGAAGCCCAUGUGGGUUUGAAACCUCCAGGUCGUACUCACAUGCAUUUCUUCUAACUGAGCAAAAUUUGAUCUACCAUGAAAAAGAAACUUCAUGAUCUGCCUUUGUUCUCACCAGCCAAGGCCUUGACCUGGUUCUGUUAGCUAGAGUCACAUCAUUUCUGUAAAGUUCCUCCACUUUGGAUGAACUGUGACAAUUCCCAAAACUAAAGUAAUGUGGCUUUUACAACUAAAGUAACUUUUUUCUCGAAAUUAUUGUCCUCUCUCCAUUUCAGCCACCAGUAAUGGCAGCCAGAGAUGAUGCUUACUCACAAACCAGCAUGCUUUAGUUCACCUCUCCCUGGUUAUCCCUACCAACAGCCAACUGCACACAAAAAUAGGUAACUUUUCAUCUCCUUAUACCACGACCCACGUUCUGCACCAUA